ACAGGCCCUUCCCAGUGUCGGUAGCAACUGGACUGAGCCAAUCUUCUGCUAAACACAAAAAGACUUUCUUUCUUUCACUGUCCUAACCAAAGCAAGAGGAGUGCCAUCGGGGUGCCUGCGCGCCUCUAAUUUUUGUAAAAAAAACAUGUUCUCACCUGUUGCUGAUUUAUCAUAGACUGAUCAACACCAACUCCUAGAGAAAGUAACAAAAGAGAAAGGAGGGCAUCUCCUGGCCCUCGGGCAUAUUACAGAAGCAAAUGAAAAGGAAUUACAGUCAGGUUUCUGGUACGUCACAGAAAACAGGAAUCUAAGGACAAAGUUUAGAUCGGGAAGCAAAUCAACCCUUUGAAUGCAGAAUAAAGUGGCAGAAGGACCCGGGGAAGGUCCCAGCGUGUCUCGAGGGGCAUACAGGGCGGCCAGCUGGAGCCGGGUCAACAAAAAAGCAGGUGAUUUUUGUCUACCAAUGAAUGCCAGCACUGGUUCAACCUAUUAUUAGAUAUUUGCCAAGUAACUUCACUACUCUAAGUGACAGUCGUCAUUUUUAUGGUGGUUGUGAAAUGCGUCUUAAUUAAGACACCUGACUCAGACUGUGGUUAUGGGGAUUAAACCAGGAAAAAACGAUUAGAUCAUGUUUCUACAAGACUCACUGGGAGCACUACACAGACGAAGAAAUUCAGUUUGUUGAUUCUUCGUGUGACGAGGUGGCCGAGUGGUUAAGGCGAUGGACUGCUAAUCCGUUGUGCUCUGCACACAUGGGUUCGAAUCCCAUCCUCGUCGGCUGCAUGGCAAGCCUUUUGUUCCAGGAAUCACAAAUGAUAUGAUAAAGGAAGAACAACAUUUUGCAUACAAAUCAAGCAACACUACCUGGUGAGGCCGGGCGUCCGUGAGCGGGCUAUGGGGCAAAGAGAGAGGCGAGGAGCGCUCCCAUCUUCUGAAGAUGAGGCCAGUGGGUGUCUCAUCCCGAGAAAGCUUCCCGUUCGGCUUUUCCACCUGGCUGCCGAGGAGUUGAUAAACCUAAGACCUGUUCUGAGGUCUCCAGGGCUCAGCCCAACUUGAUUCACAGAGAAGAGGCAUUAAAUUACAACCUGCUCUUGGAUGGAGGCCAUCUGGCACCUAAGGCAGGAAUAUGGUGGCCGCAAAGAAAACAAAAAAUCGAUGGAAUCCAGCAACUCUAGGCUCCCACUUGUUAUGAAAAAUGGAAAGGAUGUGCUGGGGUACAAGCGGACUCCGAAGAUGAUCAGACAAGGCAAAGCGAAAUUGGUCAUUCUCACUAACAAUUGCCCACCUUUGCAGAAAUCAGAAAUAGAGUACUACACAAUUUUGGCCAAAACUGGUGUCCAUUACUACAGCAGCAAUAAUAUUGAACUGGGCACAGGAUGCGGAAAAUACUACAGAGUACGAACACCGGCUAUCAUUGAUCCAGGUGAUUCUGAUAUCAUUAGAAGUAUGCCAGCACCGACUAGUGAAAAGUAAACCAUGCAAAAAUUUCCUUUAAUAAACUCGCCAGAGCUAGUUUUUUAAAAAAGUUCAUUAAUACCACAAUAAUAUACCAUUUUUUACCCAUCAGACUGUCAAAGAUCAAAAACUUUGGUGAAGGUGGGAGGGGAAAUAACUGUCAGGUAUUGUUAGAGAGCUGUAAAUUUUUAUAACUACUUUGGGGGCAAUUUAGCAGUAUGUAUACAUUUUUAAAAAUUAUAUAAUAUAUCAUGCUUUCCAUAUGAACUUAAAAAAAUCUGGAGCAGUAGAAACUCUACAGAUUUCAUAAAUCCUUUUGUUUUGUUUUUAAACUAAAAAUCUCUAAACAUACCAAUGUCCCAUUCCAAAAUAUUGCACAACAUUCUGAAUACAAACCCCUUGAUUGCAUUCUUCCUUCACUAAAGAAAAAAGCUCAUGACCCUGCUCCCCUGGCUCCUCUCUGGGCUUGCCUCAAUGCCCCCUUCCCAUCCCUAGAGAGAAAACUAGAGGAUCUAUAGCUCACUGCAGUGAGGAAAAGACAUCAUUCCAGACUAACAGUUUACAUUCUUUACAAGAUAACCCACCUUCUGAUUUGUUCCUGGAAAAGAGGGAUAGAUAGAGACAGGAUGGGGAAAGGGGAGUAAAGAUUUUAUUCUCUUUUUUAAAGUUUGUUUUUCCUGAAAAAAAAAAAUGUUUCUCUCAUCUUUUAAGGAAAAAUCUUGAAAAGAAAAAAAUUAUGUUUAUUAUGUUAGAAAUAUACAUCUAUUACAUAUACCUCUUACAUUUUACAAGUAUAGCAAAUUAUUCAAUACAAAUGGACAUCAAAAAAUGUAAAAAAAUUUUCAAAAGUUUUCCUAUGAAACCAGGUAAAUUAGUGCAGGUUUCUGUUUUUGUUUUCUUAAAAAAAUAAAAUUGAAGCAAAAAUGCCU